GUGGGGAAUUUUGGACAAUGGGCGCAAGCCUGAUCCAGCCAUUCCGCGUGCAGGAUGAAGGCCUUCGGGUUGUAAACUGCUUUUGUACGGAACGAAAAGCCUCUGGUUAAUACCCGGGGGUCAUGACGGUACCGUAAGAAUAAGCACCGGCUAACUACGUGCCAGCAGCCGCGGUAAUACGUAGGGUGCAAGCGUUAAUCGGAAUUACUGGGCGUAAAGCGUGCGCAGGCGGUUUUGUAAGACAGAGGUGAAAUCCCCGGGCUCAACCUGGGAAUUGCCUUUGUGACUGCAAGGCUGGAGUGCGGCAGAGGGGGAUGGAAUUCCGCGUGUAGCAGUGAAAUGCGUAGAUAUGCGGAGGAACACCGAUGGCGAAGGCAAUCCCCUGGGCCUGCACUGACGCUCAUGCACGAAAGCGUGGGGAGCAAACAGGAUUAGAAACCCUGGUAGUCC
rnacentral:rRNA from 1 species